AUGAGAACUUGUUCUCAACUGGCUUACCUGGUUAAAUAAAGAUGGUGAGGCUGCUUCUCUCCAGAGGAGCCAACAUUAAUGCCUUUGACAAGAAGGAUCGCCGAGCAAUCCACUGGGCUGCUUACAUGGGGCACAUUGAGGUGGUGAAACUGCUGGCCUCUCAUGGAUCAGAGGUGUCCUGUAAA